CAAUAGCGUAUAUUAAAGUUGUUGCGGUAAAAAAGCUCGUAGUUGGAUUUCUACCGAAGAUAGCCGGUCGGGUCUUCGACCUUGUAUCUGGUUUUGUCUUUGGUAUCCUCAUAGGGAACGUUUCUGCGCUUUAUUGCGUGGUGCGGUAUCUAUGACUUUUACUUUGAGGAAAUUAGAGUGUUCACGGCAGGCAAACGCCUUGAAUAUAUUAGUAUGGAAUAAUAACAUAGGAUCUUCGUCCUAUUUUGUUGGUUUCUAGGGCUAAGAUAAUGAUUAAUAGGGAUAAUUGGGGGCAUCUGUAUCAACGCGUCAGAGGUGGAAUUCUUGGAUUGCGUUGCGACAAACUACUGCGAAAGCAUUUGCCAAGGAUGUUUUCAUUGA
rnacentral:rRNA from 1 species